AUUGAACGCUGGCGGCAUGCUUUACACAUGCAAGUCGAACGGCAGCGCGGGCUUCGGCCUGGCGGCGAGUGGCGAACGGGUGAGUAAUACAUCGGAACGUGCCCAGUAGCGGGGGAUAGCUCGGCGAAAGCCGGAUUAAUACCGCAUACGACCUGAGGGUGAAAGCGGGGGAUCUUCGGAUCUCGCGCUAUUGGAGCGGCCGAUGGCCGAUUAGCUAGUUGGUGGGGUAAAGGCCUACCAAGGCGACGAUCUGUAGCUGGUCUGAGAGGACGACCAGCCACACUGGGACUGAGACACGGCCCAGACUCCUACGGGAGGCAGCAGUGGGGAAUUUUGGACAAUGGGCGAAAGCCUGAUCCAGCAAUGCCGCGUGUGUGAUGAAGGCCUUCGGGUUGUAAAGCACUUUUGGCGGGAACGAAAAGGACUGUGCCAAUACCACGGUUCGAUGACGGUACCCGCAGAAUAAGCACCGGCUAACUACGUG
rnacentral:rRNA from 1 species